UCUUGGCUUACCAAACUGCACUCACAACAGGUAGAUAGUAUAUGGGAAUGACUUCAUCGCCAACUGAAAUGCAGUCACAGCAACAUUUUGCUCUUAAUGGACAUAUAUAAAAAAAUUAUUGCAUCCCCUUCAAGCUGUGCACAUGCUGGAAGACGGCAACAUAAUUAUUUGUGCUGGAAGUCUACCCAGAUGGUGAAUUGAAUCAGUCUCAGAGUAUCAGAGGAUUUUCCAUUUACUGCUUUUGGCCACAUAGCUCCUUAAUACUAUAGGAACAUAACUGGAUGCUUCACCACUAUCCUCUGG